rnacentral:rRNA from 1 species
GACGAACGCUGGCGGCGUGCUUAACACAUGCAAGUCGAACGGAAAGGCCCUGCUUUUGUGGGGUGCUCGAGUGGCGAACGGGUGAGUAACACGUGAGUAACCUGCCCUUGACUUUGGGAUAACUUCAGGAAACUGGGGCUAAUACCGGAUAGGAGCUCCUGCUGCAUGGUGGGGGGUGGAAAGUUUCGGCGGUUGGGGAUGGACUCGCGGCUUAUCAGCUUGUUGGUGGGGUAGUGGCUUACCAAGGCUUUGACGGGUAGCCGGCCUGGGAGGGUGACCGGCCACAUUGGGACUGAGAUACGGCCCAGACUCCUACGGGAGGCAGCAGUGGGGAAUAUUGCACAAUGGGCGGAAGCCUGAUGCAGCAACGCCGCGUGCGGGAUGACGGCCUUCGGGUUGUAAACCGCUUUCGCCUGUGACGAAGCGUGAGUGACGGUAAUGGGUAAAGAAGCACCGGCUAACUACGUG